rfam:Myotis lucifugus cont2.10396, whole genome shotgun sequence.
GGAUGUGAGGGCGAUCUGGCUGCGACAUAUGUCACCCCAUUGAUCGCCAGGGUUGAUUCGGCUGAUCUGGCUGGCUAGGCGGGUGUCCCCCUCCUCCCUCACCGGUCCAUGUGCGUCCCUCCUGAAGCUGCGCGCUUGGUUGAAGAGGAUGACCUCCCCCCCCCCCCAGGAGAGGACCGGUCUUUGGUCAAGGGUAUACGAGUAGCUGCGCUCCCCUGCUAGAACCUCCAAACAAGCUCUCAAAAUGCAAUCUGAGCCCUAGCUGGUUUGGCUCAGUGGAUAGAGC